GUGAGUCAUCGAGUCUUUGAACGCACCUUGCGCUCCUUGGUAUUCCGAGGAGCAUGCCUGUUUGAGUAUCAUGAAAUUCUCAACCCUUAAAUUUUGUAACGAAGUUUAAUGGGCUUGGACUUGGAGGUCUGUGUCGGCUCUUUGUUGAGUCGACUCCUCUUAAAUGCAUUAGCGUGAAUCUUUACGGAUCACUUCAGCGAUGAUAAUUAUCCGCGCUGUGGUGUUGAAGUAUUUUUGAUAGUUCAUGCUUACAAUCGUCUCUCACGAGACAAUUCUUAACAAUCUGAUCUCAAAUCAGGUAGGACUACCCGCUGAACUUAA
rnacentral:rRNA from 1 species